UACGGAGAAUCCAAGCGUUACCCGGAAUUACUGGGCGUAAAGAGUUGCGUAGGCGGUAACUUUAGUGAGAUGCGAAAUCUUGCGGCUCAACCGCAAGUUGGUAUUUCAAACUGAGUUACUAGAGGAUGGUAGAGGCAAGUGGAAUUGCUAGUGUAGGAGUGAUAUCCGUAGAUAUUAGCAGGAACACCCAUGGCGAAGGCAGCUUGCUGGGCCAUUCCCGACGCUGAGGCACGAAAGCGUGGGGAGCGAACCGG
rnacentral:misc_RNA from 1 species